CACCAAGGUUUCUUUCUUGUUCAAGUCCUCUUCUAAGCUUGUAUGAAGAACCAAGACAAGAAACAAAUUUGGAGAGCUUUUGUGGAGCAAGAAUGGAGGACAAGGAGCUGAAAUUUUUGAGGGGAAAUGGGGAGGGAAAGUCGGCCAAGCAAGAGGAAGAAGAAAAGGGUUUUGGUUGGUAGGUGAGUGAUGUGAUAGGGUGUAAGAAGGAUUGACAUAACGGUGGUCUUGGUGUCCCAAAAGUCAACAACCGAUUAGUGUGCAAUUAGCACUCCUAAUUGAGCUUAACUUAACUCACUCACAUCUAAGCCUUCAAUUAACUUUUAUUAGUCUACUAUUAAACAUCCUUAGUUCUCCAAGAUUAAUGCACUCUCGAAUCGAAUUUGCCUCAAAAAAUGUGCAUUCUCUAUUUCUCUCUGAACGAGCCGUAGAAUUAGAUUUAAAAUGAAUGAAAUAAAUUUUUCGGAGUAAACGGGUGAAUAAAUAAUUAAAUAAGCUAGUAAAAUGAAAUAAAAGUAAGAGAAUAAAAAUUCGGGUCCUCACAUCAUUCUCCCCUUAAAAAAUUUCGUUCUCAAAAUUUAUAUCUUGAUUUAGGAACAAUUUUGGAUAUUUCUUCUGAUUCUCCUCUUCUACUUCCCAAGUUGCUUCCUUCAUUCUACGAUUUCUCCAUAAAACCUUCACUAGAGGGAUUUGCUUGUGCCUUAACUCCUUCACUUUUUGAUCUAAUAGCUUUACCGACCUUUCUUCAUAUGACAAUUCUCAUCAAGUUCUAUUUCUUCCAAUCAAAACUCACCCUUAUUGCACUUAGCAAAAGUUGGUGCUCUCUCGGGAUUUUCAAAACUAUCCUUAGGUGCCGUUCAUGAUCUUAUCACAGGUCUAGGUGUGGGACAACAAAUUAAAUAUACAUAUAAGCCGUAAAAUCAAUUAAAAGCAAAAUAAAUUUUCAUAUGUCAUAAAAGAUCAUAAUAGUUACACUAAAUCAGGAUAAGUUCAUCAAAUCAUUUCAAGAGAGAGAGGAAACAACAAAAUCAUAGCAAAACAUGCUAAGUCGCAAUAUACAAACAACAAAAGGGUGUCAUCCCCUAUACAAAAGAUUACAAUCUCUAAAAUUGCUAGUCUAAACUAGGAACUACAAUCCCUAUCUAUCGAGUAGAGUCAGAUCCAUCCCCACACGUAGAGCUUCCAAUACUUGGAUCCUUCUCACAACCAUUAGCAUUAAUCACUCCUUCUGGUACUCGAUUGCUUUGCAGCAGAUCUAGAAGGCUGCUAAGCAUUUCCUCCUUCCUUAGAGGCUCUACGGCAAUUUGAAACUCGAUGUUCAGCACUACCGCAGAUCAGACAUUUUCCUUGCUUUCUUCAGUACUC
rnacentral:lncRNA from 1 species